ensembl:lncRNA
AAGAGAAGAAAGCGCUGGUUAUGUGAGUGAGCGCUCCGGAGGCAGAGUGAGCGACACUGCCCUGUUCAGUGACAGCACUCGCUGUGGGGCUUCUGUCCCCUCAGACGUUCAGGGGUGAAGGAAAGAGCGGAGAGGGGAAGGGGAGGAAUCACUCCAGGGGUGGCAGCGCUAGAGGAGGGGCGGCGAGGAGCAGUCAUUCCCAUGUGGCUCAGGCCCAUCAGCACAGUCAAAUCAUAAACCGUGAAACCUCGAAGAGCGUGACUCCAUCCUAACAAUUAUCCUAGUGAGUAAUGGUCAGCUGCUGAAUUUAUUUUUUAUUAUACUCUCAGCCUAUCAGAAACUUGUUCAAAGACUUUAUUUGUUUUAUAUUUUUUGUUUGAAUUAUUUGUAAAAAUGAACUUCAAGCCUCAACAAAGCCCCCCCCCCCCCAUUGUUGAUGUUCCAUUAAAACAAAUAAGAUAAAAUUGCAAGAAGCCACACAACUGUCCUUUCUUUUCUAAUUUGUGUUGUAUUCACAUAUUUUUCUCAUCAGCCAACAUUUUAUUUUCAACGAUGUCAGCAUUUAUGCUGCUUUUAGCUGCCAGUCAUCCUACUAAACAGCUACAAUUGAAUCAUCAAAUCAGACUAAAUAGCUGAGCAUUAGUGCUAUUGUUUGUGAGUCAUAAUUAGCAUUUGGUCU